rnacentral:tRNA from 1 species
GCGGAUGUAGUGAAAUUGGUAUACACAGUAGGUUUAGGCCCUAUGGCUUCGAGCCGUGCGGGUUCAAGUCCCGCUUUCCGUA